UACGGAGGGUGCAAGCGUUAUCCGGAUUCACUGGGUUUAAAGGGUGCGUAGGUGGGCUGGUAAGUCAGUGGUGAAAUCCCCGAGCUUAACUUGGGAACUGCCAUUGAUACUAUCAGUCUUGAAUACUGUGGAGGUUAGCGGAAUAUGUCAUGUAGCGGUGAAAUGCUUAGAUAUGACAUAGAACACCAAUUGCGAAGGCAGCUGGCUACACAAUUAUUGACACUGAUGCACGAAAGCGUGGGGAUCAAACAGG
rnacentral:rRNA from 1 species